GGUAGAUAUGAUGAAGUCUAGGUCCAACAUACAAGGUAGAUAUGAUGAAGUCUAGGUCCAGCAUACAAGGUAGAUAUGAUGAAGUCUAGGUCCAGCAUACAAGGUAGAUAUGAUGAAGUCUAGGUCCAGCAUACAAGGUAGAUAUGAUGAAGUCUAGGUCCAGCAUGCAAGGUAGAUAUGAUGAAGUCUAGGUCCAGCAUACAAGGUAGAUAUGAUGAAGUCUAGGUCCAACAUACAAGGUAGAUAUGAUGAAGUCUA
rnacentral:lncRNA from 1 species